UAUAUUUUGGUGUAUGGUGCACAUGAAUUUUUGAUGUUCGGGGAGUUAGUUUAAUUCUACCAAAUAUAA
rnacentral:tRNA from 1 species